rnacentral:rRNA from 1 species
AUGCACGCCUCUCCCAACUCAGGCCAUCCCCAAACAGCGACCACGAUGCCCCACCGCUGGCCCCUUCGCGGCCACACUCCCCACGACGCUUGCCGGUUCUCCGCCGCCUCGCCUAGGCCGUCUUGGAACCGCCGCCGUCGCAGCUACAGUCAGGUGAUAGUUAAGAAGAACAUAGUAUGUGAUGGUCCAAUAGGGAAGAAAUGUAAGUCGACAGUGCUGCUGAUGGGUGGCACUGAUAGUCCCAACGCCUUUGCUCUUGGAUCAUUAUUCAAGAUUAUUUUUUCCUACAACAAGAAAGAGGAUGCUGAAGGAGGUAUUGCAACUAGAAAGGUAUCUGGUUUACAACUUGAUUAUGAACUUUGUUCAAACAUGCAUGGUUGUUUUAUCCUUUGA